ensembl:lncRNA
UUGGACUCAGUGAUCUUUAAGGUCUUUUCCAACCUGAGUUUUCCAAGUGUCACUAAGCCAUUUUGCAGUAGGGUCAGAUGAAUGACCCUACUGAUUGAUGAUUGAUGAUUGACUCUGAAGUUGACACAUGAAGGGCAUACUCGGCUUUAGGUACCACACAGCCUUUGGUCACAGCCUCCUCUGUCAUAUCUACUCAUCAGCAGAUCUGGCUGCCAUUAGAAUAUAACUCACAACUUCAGCUAGACUGGCAUUAUUAUUAAUUUUUGCCCUUCUCUUUGUGGAUGUGACAUUGAGUAGAAGAGAAAAACAGCCACACCUGUGUCCACACCUACAGAGUAUGUGUAGUACCAACUUGACACUGCAAUAUUCUUGAAAAUCCUGUGGGCCCACAGGAUGGAAGCAUCAGAGCAUGGGACUGGUAUCUCAGUGGAACAUGAGACACAUGACCUGUAACAAGAAGGCUUUGUCCUCUGUGCAACAGCAGCCAGAUCAGUGAGUAACUGAAGAAGGCAACCUGCUGAUUGUAACACAGCAUGGGAAACAACAUGUUGAGAUUGCACCUGCGUCUUGUGAAAGUCACAUUGCACCUCUCAGGAGUAAUGCUGAAUCCUUAAGGUGGCACUGUGUGUACCAGCACUGAUGUUCUGCAAGGACUAGAAGAAACUUCUGAGGGAAGCACACUGGUCAAGGCUGCCAUGUAUGGAACUGUGAGUAUGAAGACAGACCAGGGCACCAGACCACCUGCAAUAGCAAUGAUCAGUUCCAUGGAGAAAGCUUGGAGAAAGCUGUUCCAUAGAAACUUUUAGAUGAACACUCGAUGAAAAGAAAGUCAUCUUGCUCCUCGGUGUGACUGCAUGAAAAUCUACUGGGACAAGUUCACAUGAAUAACUGGCACAGAGGAAAUUAGCUUCUGUGCGACCAACAACUAGGAAGUUCUUGUCUUCAGAUGGCAAGGAAAGUCAAAGAGAUUAAGUGACUUGUCAAGGACGCACCCGGAGACGGGGAGAUAGCUGGGAAGAGCUAUUUUCUGCUGCUGAACCCCUGUGCUUUCACCCCAGGAUCAUACAAAUGAACACAGGCAGAAACUUGACCUGAAAAUAGCAGCUUUUCAGUUAAGAUCACUAAUGAGGAUUUUAAUUAGUUGAGUAAGCCAGUGUCAAUACAAUCAGUAAACCAAAAUCCAUGACCUAGCAGCCUAGUUCUUCCUGAAGGAAACUAUAUGCUAGAUGAGUGUGCAUCAAGCCUUUUCAGUGAUAAUUUACCAUUUAUUGGCACAAGACUUGCUUCAUUAACUUUUUUAUUUUCUUUUUUAAUUAAACAACGUUGUUACUUAGGAUGUAGAUCCAUCCUGUAUGUUCACCACUAGGCUAAAUUGGCCACCCAUUUCCAUCACGGGCUGGUGGGCCUUGACAAGCCCUAUGUCAUCUCCUCCUCUGGUGGCUGGGCUUUCUCUGCCCAUGUCUUCAGUCUGCCACAGCCUGCCUUCCAUCUGGCCCCAGCAGUGCAUGUCCCUUCUCUCUGCUGCAUGGGGAACUUACAUCACUCUGCUGGUGCUGGUGUGAAGUCUCCUCCCCAGAAUCCCAGCAUCUGCAAACAAGUGAAAUAAAUUUUUCAGCAAAC